UCUGGUUCAGGGACAGUGCCUGGUGGGUAGUUUAACUGGGGCGGUUGCCUCCUAAAAUGUAACGGAGGCGCUCAAAGGUUCCCUCAGAAUGGUUGGAAAUCAUUCGCAGAGUGUAAAGGCACAAGGGAGCUUGACUGUGAGACAGACAUGUCGAGCAGGGACGAAAGUCGGGACUAGUGAUCCGGCACCUACUUGUGGAUGUGGUGUCGCUCAACGGAUAAAAGGUACCCCGGGGAUAACAGGCUGAUCUUGCCCAAGAGUCCAUAUCGACGGCAUGGUUUGGCACCUCGAUGUCGGCUCGUCGCAUCCUGG
rnacentral:rRNA from 1 species